CAGUAGCCGCGGGAAUACGUAGGUCCCGAGCGUUGUCCGGAUUUAUUGGGCGUAAAGCGAGCGCAGGCGGUUAGAUAAGUCUGAAGUUAAAGGCUGUGGCUUAACCAUAGUACGCUUUGGAAACCGUUUAACUUGAGUGCAAGAGGGGAGAGUGGAAUUCCAUGUGUAGCGGUGAAAUGCGUAGAUAUAUGGAGGAACACCGGUGGCGAAAGCGGCUCUCUGGCUUGUAACUGACGCUGAGGCUCGAAAGCGUGGGGAGCAAACAGGAUUAGAGACCCCCGUAGUCCCUGUCUCUUAUACA
rnacentral:rRNA from 1 species